GUUCUGCUGUUUGAUCAUUUUAUUCGUACAUGCACAUGCUUUUUAAAGCAAGUUAUGUUACAAUGGGUGUUCCAGGUAUAGCAUGAUUCUUGACUGCGUCGACGUAUAAAACAUAAAACAAUACGAUAACAAAAUAAAGAAAAGUUAUCCAGUAGAGGUUUCACGUUCAAUCAAAGUUGACUCAGAUUAAGUCUUUUUGCUGAAUAAGAUAUAAGACGUCCAAGACAAUUAAACAAGAAUGCCUAAAGAGUUCAGUUCAAACAAAAAAUAUUUACGUUCAAAACUAUGUUAGUAUAAUUAUAAAAUUUAUCUCCAUUGCCUUGAAAUAUAAAUUAAAAUUGUCCUAUUCUAGUUUGAAUAUCCUUUAAAAAGAAUUUAUGUAUCAAUAACAAGUGUCCAAUAACCAAUCGUCUUCAGUGGAAUACAAAGACACGCAUGUUAAAUUUUC
rnacentral:lncRNA from 1 species